GUAAGUGUAGGCGUGAUUUGGCGGCGAGUUCCCUCCUCACUUUGUACUCUCGCGUGUGGAUGUAUAUAUCUUCAAACGUACCGUUGGAUUGCUUUCUUUCUUCUAAUAGAUGGCUAUGAUGGGCAGUUGCUUUUCAUUUGUUUGUUUAUAUAGUUUUGUCUUUUUUGGUCCCAGUUUGUGCACGUGUCAACGCAAGGGUAGUAAACAUCUGAAAUCUGGUGCAUGCACCUGCUUUUACUUCGCCUGAGGCCUUGCUUUUCUUGGGUUCAUGCAUGGGGAUUGGAGUCUUGCUUUCUUCUCCCCUCCCAAUACAACUCAGCGACCCAUCGUUGAUCUUCUUGGGUUCAUCGUUCAUCUUUGCAAUUCUUUGCUCUUUUCAUGUUGGGUGAUUAGAUCCACUCAUCUGGUGCGUUUCUGUGGUUUUUUCCCAGGUCAUCGAUUACAUGGGCACAUGCGAGCCUGAUUUGACUCAGGCAUAUCUCGGAUCUCCGUCGAUUCUCCCGCGUUCCAUGGAAUUGCACCUUCGAUUUCGUCCGUUGUCAAGAAGUGAAUAAGAGGAGUGAAGAAGGGUGCAACGCUACACUGAUUUAUGUAAACGAUCUAUUCAACUGAGUGAAGAAGGAUUAUUAUCUGAAGAGAGUUAUACUAUAGCACUAUCAAUCAUGCUCUUUCUAUUUGUGAAGCAGAAUACAGUCGGGAAAAGGAAGGUUAGCCUAACAGUUGAAAAAUUCAAUAUCAUGUGGUUGCAACUGUAAGGAGUAGAGCUCUAACUAAUAUCUCCAAAGAUCAUUAUGCUUUGAUGUUGGUGGUGGAAACUCAGCAGCUUCUCAUUCAACCAAGUGCGGCGUAUCGGUUUCUCUCACAUAAUUGAAUUAUCAUUUCCUUUGACAUUUUAGGGGGCUUGCGUGGAGGACUAGGUUAACUUUUCAAUGGCCACUACAGGACACAACCGAAUGCUUUGACCAAUUUUCCAAUUGACAAGGGGCUAGGAUAAACUUCAAUAUAAGUUCCCUCUCUAUUUGUUCUGUAUUUCAAAGUGCAUUUUGUGGUAUUGUUUAAGUCCUCCAUUUUUAUUAUUGUUAUCCUUUGCAAACUCUAAAAGAUUUUUCACUACGAUUAUUGUACAAGUACAAAGAUAAUGAUAUGUUAUAAACAGAGUGGAAUAAACUAAAGAUAUGAAGUUUACAUGAA